AUCAGUUUGAAUGCGGUGCACAAAGGCGCGGGCUCAGCAAAGGCCUUUCUCCAUUUCCGUUUCUCCCUCCCCCACCCCCGACUUUCUCCCUUUUUAUUUGUUCCUUUCCUUUGACAAGAGAUGGUUUCCAAAGACACCUGGGCAGUCAAGGAGCUGACCGAUCCAAAAUAUUUAUUCCCUGCCUCCCUCCACGCCCCUCACCACCACCAGGACCUGAAAAGCGAUCCUGCCUGCUCAGCUCACUGGUGCUGGACAGAUGAGGGCCCAAAGCCAUCAGCCAGAGAAAGGAGGAGCCCUGAAUGAGCUGCAGCCUCGAUGGUGAACUCUCAACCAGUGAAUAGUUGGCAAGAAAACAGAGAUACAGUGCGGUGCAGGGGAAUCCUGGGAGAAGUGAUGAGACAACCAAAUUUGCAAAGUCCUCUGCACUGCAACAAGAAUGAAGCAUUACAUGAGUAUGUAAUGCUCAUCAAAUCAAUGGCCUCUCAUCUAGUGCAGCGAGCAUCUCAUCACUUGGCAACCUCUCACUAACCUGGAGUCAUUGGAAAAUGGCUUAGACUUCUAGACAACUAAAAGUUACAGACACUUCAAUUUUCACCUCUUGCCUGUUAAGUUCUUCUCUGUUUUCUUAGUAGAACAUCCUUUGGUAUAUAAUAGGUACUUGAUAAAUGUUACAUUGAGUUACUUUGGGGUGCCGUGAGUCUAAAACACUCUUGUUGGGAAGCUAUUGCUGACAUCGAGCAGUUCUAAUGGUAUAAUAUCUGCUUAAUUGUAUGAAAAAGGUUUGAUCUACAGAUAUAAUUUGACUUUAAAUUUACCAGAAACCUAAUAAUACAUUUUACCAAGAUGGAAUUAUAUUCUACAUUUUAACUCAUGAAGAUUCAGAUACUCUUUAUCCAGCUUUAUUCCAUUUACCACAUUCUCCCUUAGCUUGACCCUCCUCAGGCCAUUUUAAUGCCUGUCAAGCUACUCACCCAUCAAUUUUUCAAAAGAUCUGCGUGGAGUGUCCAUUGUGCCAUCCACCUUUGGCAUCUCAACUAGCAGGUGAGCGGAGAGAAAGGAAUACCAGCGAUGCCUCUGGUUGACCAUUUUGAAGGAAAAUUUGAGAUAUCUGGGGAGCAUUGCUUAACAUUUGGUCUUUCCCUCUCUAUAGAUCUUAUUUACUUAUGCCACUGUUUCCUUCAAUAGCAACAUUCGACCCUGAUU
rnacentral:lncRNA from 1 species